AAUUUUCCUCCAGAACUCUGCCCCUUCUCUCUGUUUCUGCCUCCUAGCAUUUUUCCUUGGAGGUUGGGGAGAAAUUUGUUUUCCUAAAUGUUGGAGCAGGUGGUGUUACUUAAGACACAACCUAAAAUUUUUCCUACAUAGUCUUUAUUAUGGCUUGAAUUGUGCCCCGCAAAUAGAUGUGUUAAAAUCCUGAUCUCCUGGACCUCAGAACGUGGCCUCAUUUGUAAAUGGGCCACUGCAGAUGAAAUCAAGUUUCAUGGAAUGUCACACUCUGGAUACCUCGGAUGUAAUGAAUCGCCUAUGGAGAACACUCAAGUCGUUUCCAGUUUCUAACUAGAGGAAACACUGUAGCAGGACGCCUCCCCUUCAGUCAUCUUUGAGCUCCUAGGUGAGCCACGAGCAGCAUAAAUUCCUUUUGGUGAAAAUUGCUGAUCAGAUUCUUCUGUGCUUCCUGCAUUUUUUUCUGUCAAAUAGUAUUUUUAUUUGCUUUUUGAUUGAGGUUUA
rnacentral:lncRNA from 1 species